AUUGUACGCUGGCGGCAGGCCUAACACAUGCAAGUCGAGCGGAAACGAUCCUAGCUUGCUAGGAGGCGUCGAGCGGCGGACGGGUGAGUAACGCGUGAGAAUCUACCCAUGAGUGGGGGACAACCCGGGGGAAACUCGGGCUAAUACCGCAUACGCCCUACGGGGUAAAGCAGGGGACCUUCGGGCCUUGCGCUGAUGGAUGAGCUCGCGUCGGAUUAGCUUGUUGGUGAGGUAAAGGCUCACCAAGGCGACGAUCCGUAGCUGGUCUGAGAGGAUGAUCAGCCACACCGGGACUGAGACACGGCCCGGACUCCUACGGGAGGCAGCAGUGGGGAAUCUUGGACAAUGGGGGCAACCCUGAUCCAGCCAUGCCGCGUGUGUGAAGAAGGCCUUCGGGUUGUAAAGCACUUUCAGCAGGGAGGAAGGCUUACCCCUAAUACGGGUGAGUACUUGACGUUACCUGCAGAAGAAGCACCGGCUAAUUUCGUG
rnacentral:rRNA from 1 species